UGAGUGUGUGAUGGAUGGCUUU
rnacentral:miRNA from 1 species